rnacentral:rRNA from 1 species
AUGAACGCCCCCAUCCCCCCUCGGUUCAGGUUUGAGCUCUUCUGGCUCAACCAAGCCGGUUUCCGCGAGGCCGUUGCGGCCAAGUGGACCGCCGCUCGCGCAGCUCCUCACCGAGCCAUGUCUGCCUUGGAUUCUUGGCAGUUUUGCGCCAAGAUGGCCCGCCAAUUUAUGAAGGGAUGGGGCACGAACCUCGGCCGUGAUCUCCAUUUGCAAGAAGCCCUCCUGAGCGCCAUCCAGGUCCUGGACACCCGUGCUGACUCAUCAGGGAUCUCCCCGGGCGAAUGGAUGCUGAGAUAUGACCACGAGGACCAGCUCUCGGUCAUCUACUCUGACGAGGAGGCCUACUGGCGACUGCAUGGCACACAACAGGGGGUGCUCUAGGGAGACGCCAAUACGGCCUACUUCCAGGCGAUCGCCAACGGCCGACGCCGUCACAAUUCCAUCCACUCCCUGUGGGAAGGUGAUACUCGGCAAGUUCGCCCCUCGGACAUCCGAGCCCAUGUAGACGGCUUCUAUAAAGCCCUUUUCACCCCCACCCCUUGGGGUGGGGCCGCGCUAGCACCCGAUACCUGGUCGGGGGCCCAGCUUGUCUCUGCCGAGACCAACGCCGUUUUGGUGGCGCCUUUCUCUGAGGAGAAGGUCCUUGCGGCGAUCAAAGCAAUGAACCCCUCCUCGGCUCCGGGCCCGGAUGGAUUGCCAGUCUCAUUUUUCAAAACAUUCUGGCAAACCAUCAAACCGGAGGUCAUGGCCCUCUUCGACGAGUUCUUCUCUGGGACAAUGGACCUCGGGCGCCUGAACUAUGGGAUCAUUGCACUCAUCCCUAAGGUUCCAGGGGCCUCAGACAUUCGCCAGUUCCGCCCGAUCACGGUGAUUAACGUGAUCUUCAGGAUCCUGGCUAAAGGGUACGCCAAUAGGGUGACUGAGGGAGUCCUGGACUAG